rnacentral:rRNA from 1 species
UACAGAGGGGGCAAGCGUUGUUCGGAAUUACUGGGCUUAAAGGGCGCGUAGGCGGCCUGUUAAGUCGAACGUGAAAUCCCCGGGCUCAACCCGGGAACUGCGUCCGAUACUGGCAGGCUUGAAUCCGGGAGAGGGAUGCGGAAUUCCAGGUGUAGCGGUGAAAUGCGUAGAUAUCUGGAGGAACACCGGUGGCGAAGGCGGCAUCCUGGACCGGCAUUGACGCUGAGGCGCGAAAGCCAGGGGAGCAAACGGG